CGACAGGCUUAACACAUGCAAGUCGAGGGGCAGCACAGGUAGCAAUACCGGGUGGCGACCGGCGCACGGGUGAGUAACGCGUAUGCAACUUACCUAUCAGAGGGGGAUAACCCGGCGAAAGUCGGACUAAUACCGCAUGAAGCAGGGGCCCCGCAUGGGGAUAUUUGCUAAAGAUUCAUCGCUGAUAGAUAGGCAUGCGUUCCAUUAGGCAGUUGGCGGGGUAACGGCCCACCAAACCGACGAUGGAUAGGGGUUCUGAGAGGAAGGUCCCCCACAUUGGUACUGAGACACGGACCAAACUCCUACGGGAGGCAGCAGUGAGGAAUAUUGGUCAAUGGCCGAGAGGCUGAACCAGCCAAGUUGCGUGAGGGAUGAAGGUUCUAUGGAUCGUAAACCUCUUUUAUAAGGGAAUAAAGUGCGGGACGUGUCCCGUUUUGUAUGUACCUUAUGAAUAAGGAUCGGCUAACUCCGUGCCAGCAGCCGCGGUAAUACGGAGGAUCCGAGCGUUAUCCGGAUUUAUUGGGUUUAAAGGGUGCGUAGGCGGCCUUUUAAGUCAGCGGUGAAAGUCUGUGGCUCAACCAUAGAAUUGCCGUUGAAACUGGGGGGCUUGAGUAUGUUUGAGGCAGGCGGAAUGCGUGGUGUAGCGGUGAAAUGCAUAGAUAUCACGCAGAACCCCGAUUGCGAAGGCAGCCUGCCAAGCCAUUACUGACGCUGAUGCACGAAAGCGUGGGGAUCAAACAGGAUUAGAUACCCUGGUAGUCCACGCAGUAAACGAUGAUCACUAGCUGUUUGCGAUACACUGUAAGCGGCACAGCGAAAGCGUUAAGUGAUCCACCUGGGGAGUACGCCGGCAACGGUGAAACUCAAAGGAAUUGACGGGGGCCCGCACAAGCGGAGGAACAUGUGGUUUAAUUCGAUGAUACGCGAGGAACCUUACCCGGGUUUGAACGCAUUCGGACCGAGGUGGAAACACCUUUUCUAGCAAUAGCCGUUUGCGAGGUGCUGCAUGGUUGUCGUCAGCUCGUGCCGUGAGGUGUCGGCUUAAGUGCCAUAACGAGCGCAACCCUUGCCACUAGUUACUAACAGGUAAAGCUGAGGACUCUGGUGGGACUGCCAGCGUAAGCUGCGAGGAAGGCGGGGAUGACGUCAAAUCAGCACGGCCCUUACAUCCGGGGCGACACACGUGUUACAAUGGCGUGGACAAAGGGAAGCCACCUGGCGACAGGGAGCGAAUCCCCAAACCACGUCUCAGUUCGGAUCGGAGUCUGCAACCCGACUCCGUGAAGCUGGAUUCGCUAGUAAUCGCGCAUCAGCCAUGGCGCGGUGAAUACGUUCCCGGGCCUUGUACACACCGCCCGUCAAGCCAUGGGAGCCGGGGGUACCUGAAGUCCGUAACCGCGAGGAUCGGCCUAGGGUAAAACUGGUGACUGGGGC
rnacentral:rRNA from 1 species